rnacentral:tRNA from 1 species
GUUAAUGUAGCUUAACCCAAAGCAUGGCACUGAAGAUGCCAAGAUGAACUGUAAGAAGUUCCAAUAACA